GUGGGGUAGGGUAGAGGAGGAGGAAGAACUUGCUGGAGAUUUAAUAAAUGAAGACAGUGUUGGAGGUUGAAGAUGAUCUGAGGCCAUCCGAAGUUCAUCCGAUGUUAAGAAAAAUCGAGUGUUAGCAACUGGAGAAAUACUCGAAUGUCAUGCAUGUACACACUCCCAACAGAAAUCUCUCCUCGGUCUACUUUUGUUCCUCUCUCUUUUCACAUCACUUCCAUUAUCUCUUACCUUAGGUUCUGUUUGGAUCCACCAGCUAAACUUUAGCCAGCUAAAUUUAGCUGCUAUGGAUCUAAACAGGAUCCAACUAAAUUUUAG
rnacentral:lncRNA from 1 species